UGGUUCCUGUGUUGCCUUCCCAUCGUGUGGAAAAAUUCGUCAGACAGCCCCGCACCUGUCCUCCUUGUGGCUUUGCGGCUGCAAUGCGGACCUCGAAGGCAGUCCCCGUGUCCCGGACAUAUCCUCUGACUUUUGUCGUGGCUGUCUCGGUCCACGGGACAACUGCUCGUGCUCUCGGAUGUGGAAAAUUAAGCGGACGUGGGGGGGUCUUGGCCUCCGGUUGCUCCAAUCAAGUCCCUCGAUAAGAAUGACUCUCGCUACCUCAUUGAUCGCAGGCCGUCUAGGCCCGUGGCAUCAAUGAUGGUCCGAAGUCGAUAACGAAUGCUACCUGGUUGAUCCUGCCAGUAGUCAUAUGCUUGUCUCAAAGAUUAAGCCAUGCAU
rnacentral:misc_RNA from 1 species